AGUUAAAACAAGAAAUUUAUUGAAAGCACCAUGAGCCACCAGGCCCCAUGCUUCUAAGCACAUCGUGGCUGCCUCACAACAGCCCUGUGAGGUAGGAACCUGAGCCCAUUUCACAGAUGUAGACUCAACAGUGAAGACACAACAGCCUUUCUCCCACCCCCCCAAGUCUCAGGGUCCAUGGGUAGGGAUCAAGGCCACAUGCCUGACCCCAGGGUCAGCGCAGUUCAUCAGUCAGUAGGUGGGUCUCUCUACUCAAGGGGAGGCCAGGGUCCAGAGUCUUGGGUCCAGCAUGUCCCACAGGAAAUGUGCAAGGCGUCCCCGUGGCUGUGGAGGCUGAGAGAGACACAGCUGCAGAUGAAGCCAUCUGCUCCCCAUCCCCGUGGCAGAUAAAGAGUUUUCAUGCACUAGGCAGGGUAGGAACUGGAGGAGUGGGGAUGGAAUCCAACAUCAUGGAAAGAGCCUCGUGGGAAAUGUGAAUCUCAGACAGACAUGGACUGGGACACUCCGGGACUGGGAGACCUGGGAGGACACAGCCUCCUUGCUCCUCCCUCCAUGCCUUACCCUGCCAGGAAACUACUAGGUGGAUAGUGGGACACAAAGCAAAAGGGAGACCAUUCUGAGUGCAUACCAGGAUCAGGCAGGAGUGAGCCUAAGACACUGGGCUUGCUGAGGUUUUAUUUGGUGGAGUGGAAAGAGUUAUUCACACAUAACAUGACUAUUGUCCCUGGUUCUCAGUCUGUCCAUCCAUAGAAUGGGACCAUGCUGAGGACAACAGUAAAGUGUGUAAACCUAAGCUCAGUCCAAAGCAGAAUUUGGUGUAGAGAAAGCUAAUUUUUCUCAUCUCCUGGCAGGGAAAGAAAGGGGGAGGGGGGAGGAGAGGAGAACAGCCACCCAGACCUACCAGCUAAAAGUGAGAGAGCAGUAAGAAAAAAUUCAAGGAUGUCAUAAUUUGGAAGCCCCUCUAUUGACCCUUGGUUCUUGGCACUGUCCCAGGGGGCAGAUAUGUACACACCACAUACACAGAAACACAAGCUUGAAGAAGCAUCUACCAACAGACACCACCCCUCCGAAUGCCCCAAAGCAAAGUGGCCCAGCCAGCUUUGGCCUUCACAUAACCAGCAGCACCAGCCACCAUGAUGGAAAGGAAGGGAAGGCCAGGGCACCACAGAGGGACUUAGACGCUAACAUGCAUGAAUGAACCACACCAGAUUUAGCCAGGACCACACAGCCAGC
ensembl:lincRNA Gm26906 predicted gene, 26906